GCUUGUGCAGGAAGUCCUUGCGCCGGUCGGCGCCCUGCGCCUGAAUGCGGGCGACUUUCAGCCGGGCCUUCUCGUAGUUGCGACUUCCCUUCUGCUUGCGGGCCAGAUUGCGCUGCGCUUUCCCCAGCCGUUUCGCGUUGCGCUUGCGGAAACGCGGGUUGGGGAUUUUCUCGCCGUCCGAGAGCGCGGCGAGAAAAUCCACUCCCAUGUCGACGCCGAUUCGUGUGUCGGUCCUGGGUAUCGGCUUGACGUGUUCCUCCACGAGGAUGCUCACAUGCCAGCGUCCCGCCGCGUCCAAGGAUAUGGUGACGCUGGAGGGAACGGCUUUCACGGGAAGCGUCCUUGACCAGAUGACACGCAACGGUUCCUUCAUUUUCGCCAGCUUGAGAUGACGCUUGCAGCCGUCCCAUGUGAAAGCGUAGCGGGUGAAGGUGGCCGAACCGCCAUGCGCCUUGCGUUUGAACGCGGGGAAGUCCCCCGUGUGGUUGAAAAAGCUCGAGUACGCGGUUUGCAGAUGACGUAGCGCCUGCUGCAAUGGUACGCAGGACACGUCGUUGAGGAACGCCAGCCCUU
rnacentral:antisense_RNA from 1 species